AUUGAACGCUGGCGGCAGGCCUAACACAUGCAAGUCGAACGAGUGGCGGACGGGUGAGUAAUGUCUGGGAAAAUGCAUGAUGGAGGGGGAUAACUACUGGAAACGGUAGCUAAUACCGCAUACCAUCAGAGGGGCCCAGAUGGGAUUAGCUUGUUGGUGGGGUAACGGCGCACCAAGGCGACGAUCCAUAGCUGGUCUGAGAGGAUGACCAGCCACACUGGAACUGAGACACGGCCCAGACUCCUACGGGAGGCAGCAGUGGGGAAUAUUGGACAAUGGGCGAAACCCUGAUGCAGCCAUGCCGCGUGUAUGAUGAAGGCCUUCGGGUUGUAAAGUACUUUCAGCAGGGAGGCGUUACCCGCAGAAUAAGCACCGGCUAACUCCGUGCCAGCCGCCGCGGUAAUAC
rnacentral:rRNA from 1 species